rnacentral:rRNA from 1 species
GCACAAUGGGCGCAAGCCUGAUGCAGCCAUGCCGCGUGUGUGAAGAAGGCCUUCGGGUUGUAAAGCACUUUCAGUCGUGAGGAAGGUAGUGUAGUUAAUAGCUGCAUUAUUUGACGUUAGCGACAGAAGAAGCACCGGGCUAACUCCCGUGCCAGCAGCCGCGGUAAUACGGAGGGUGCGAGCGUUAAUCGGAAUUACUGGGCGUAAAGCGCAUGCAGGUGGUUUGUUAAGUCAGAUGUGAAAGCCCGGGGCUCAACCUCGGAAUAGCAUUUGAAACUGGCAGACUAGAGUACUGUAGAGGGGGUAGAAUUUCAGGUGUAGCGGUGAAAUGCGUAGAGAUCUGAAGGAAUACCGGUGGCGAAGGCGGCCCCCUGGACAGAUACUGACACUCAGAUGCGAAAGCGUGGGGAGCAAACAGGAUUAGAUACCCUGGUAG